rnacentral:rRNA from 1 species
AGAUGUUURAAUUCUUGACUCCAGGACGAUCGCUGUWCAGCGUGCCUUAAUACAUGCAAGUCGAGCGAGCUUGCCUAGAUGAUUUGGUGCUUGCACCAAAUGAAACUAGAUACAAGCGAGCGGCGGACGGGUGAGUAACACGUGGGUAACCUGCCCAAGAGACUGGGAUAACACCUGGAAACAGAUGCUAAUACCGGAUAACAACACUAGACGCAUGUCUAGAGUUUAAAAGAUGGUUCUGCUAUCACUCUUGGAUGGACCUGCGGUGCAUUAGCUAGUUGGUAAGGUAACGGCUUACCAAGGCAAUGAUGCAUAGCCGAGUUGAGAGACUGAUCGGCCACAUUGGGACUGAGACACGGCCCAAACUCCUACGGGAGGCAGCAGUAGGGAAUCUUCCACAAUGGACGCAAGUCUGAUGGAGCAACGCCGCGUGAGUGAAGAAGGGUUUCGGCUCGUAAAGCUCUGUUGGUAGUGAAGAAAGAUAGAGGUAGUAACUGGCCUUUAUUUGACGGUAAUUACUUAGAAAGUCACGGCUAACUACGUGCCAGCAGCCGCGGUAAUACGUAGGUGGCAAGCGUUGUCCGGAUUUAUUGGGCGUAAAGCGAGUGCAGGCGGUUCAAUAAGUCUGAUGUGAAAGCCUUCGGCUCAACCGGAGAAUUGCAUCAGAAACUGUUGAACUUGAGUGCAGAAGAGGAGAGUGGAACUCCAUGUGUAGCGGUGGAAUGCGUAGAUAUAUGGAAGAACACCAGUGGCGAAGGCGGCUCUCUGGUCUGCAACUGACGCUGAGGCUCGAAAGCAUGGGUAGCGAACAGGAUUAGAUACCCUGGUAGUCCAUGCCGUAAACGACGAGUGCUAAGUGUUGGGAGGUUCCGCCUCUCAGUGUGCAGUAACGCAUUAAGCAUCUCCGCYGGA